AGAGUUUGAUCAUGGCUCAGAUUGAACGCUGGCGGCAGGCCUAACACAUGCAAGUCGAACGGUAACAGGAAACAGCUUGCUGUUUCGCUGACGAGUGGCGGACGGGUGAGUAAUGUCUGGGAAACUGCCUGAUGGAGGGGGAUAACUACUGGAAACGGUAGCUAAUACCGCAUAACGUCGCAAGACCAAAGAGGGGGACCUUCGGGCCUCUUGCCAUCGGAUGUGCCCAGAUGGGAUUAGCUUGUUGGUGGGGUAACGGCUCACCAAGGCGACGAUCCCUAGCUGGUCUGAGAGGAUGACCAGCCACACUGGAACUGAGACACGGUCCAGACUCCUACGGGAGGCAGCAGUGGGGAAUAUUGCACAAUGGGCGCAAGCCUGAUGCAGCCAUGCCGCGUGUAUGAAGAAGGCCUUCGGGUUGUAAAGUACUUUCAGCGGGGAGGAAGGGAGUAAAGUUAAUACCUUUGCUCAUUGACGUUACCCGCAGAAGAAGCACCGGCUAACUCCGUGCCAGCAGCCGCGGUAAUACGGAGGGUGCAAGCGUUAAUCGGAAUUACUGGGCGUAAAGCGCACGCAGGCGGUUUGUUAAGUCAGAUGUGAAAUCCCCGGGCUCAACCUGGGAACUGCAUCUGAUACUGGCAAGCUUGAGUCUCGUAGAGGGGGGUAGAAUUCCAGGUGUAGCGGUGAAAUGCGUAGAGAUCUGGAGGAAUACCGGUGGCGAAGGCGGCCCCCUGGACGAAGACUGACGCUCAGGUGCGAAAGCGUGGGGAGCAAACAGGAUUAGAUACCCUGGUAGUCCACGCCGUAAACGAUGUCGACUUGGAGGUUGUGCCCUUGAGGCGUGGCUUCCGGAGCUAACGCGUUAAGUCGACCGCCUGGGGAGUACGGCCGCAAGGUUAAAACUCAAAUGAAUUGACGGGGGCCCGCACAAGCGGUGGAGCAUGUGGUUUAAUUCGAUGCAACGCGAAGAACCUUACCUGGUCUUGACAUCCACGGAAGUUUUCAGAGAUGAGAAUGUGCCUUCGGGAACCGUGAGACAGGUGCUGCAUGGCUGUCGUCAGCUCGUGUUGUGAAAUGUUGGGUUAAGUCCCGCAACGAGCGCAACCCUUAUCCUUUGUUGCCAGCGGUCCGGCCGGGAACUCAAAGGAGACUGCCAGUGAUAAACUGGAGGAAGGUGGGGAUGACGUCAAGUCAUCAUGGCCCUUACGACCAGGGCUACACACGUGCUACAAUGGCGCAUACAAAGAGAAGCGACCUCGCGAGAGCAAGCGGACCUCAUAAAGUGCGUCGUAGUCCGGAUUGGAGUCUGCAACUCGACUCCAUGAAGUCGGAAUCGCUAGUAAUCGUGGAUCAGAAUGCCACGGUGAAUACGUUCCCGGGCCUUGUACACACCGCCCGUCACACCAUGGGAGUGGGUUGCAAAAGAAGUAGGUAGCUUAACCUUCGGGAGGGCGCUUACCACUUUGUGAUUCAUGACUGGGGUGAAGUCGUAACAAGGUAACCGUAGGGGAACCUGCGGUUGGAUCAC
rnacentral:rRNA from 1 species